GACGAACGCUGGCGGCGUGCUUAACACAUGCAAGUCGAACGGAAAGGCCCUGCUUUUGUGGGGUGCUCGAGUGGCGAACGGGUGAGUAACACGUGAGUAACCUGCCCUUGACUUUGGGAUAACUUCAGGAAACUGGGGCUAAUACCGGAUAGGAGCUCCUGCUGCAUGGUGGGGGUUGGAAAGUUUCGGCGGUUGGGGAUGGACUCGCGGCUUAUCAGCUUGUUGGUGGGGUAGUGGCUUACCAAGGCUUUGACGGGUAGCCGGCCUGAGAGGGUGACCGGCCACAUUGGGACUGAGAUACGGCCCAGACUCCUACGGGAGGCAGCAGUGGGGAAUAUUGCACAAUGGGCGGAAGCCUGAUGCAGCAACGCCGCGUGCGGGAUGACGGCCUUCGGGUUGUAAACCGCUUUCGCCUGUGACGAAGCGUGAGUGACGGUAAUGGGUAAAGAAGCACCGGCUAACUACGUGCCAGCAGCCGCGGUGAUACGUAGGGCGCGAGCGUUGUCCGGAUUUAUUGGGCGUAAAGGGCUCGUAGGUGGUUGAUCGCGUCGGAAGUGUAAUCUUGGGGCUUAACCCUGAGCGUGCUUUCGAUACGGGUUGACUUGAGGAAGGUAGGGGAGAAUGGAAUUCCUGGUGGAGCGGUGGAAUGCGCAGAUAUCAGGAGGAACACCAGUGGCGAAGGCGGUUCUCUGGGCCUUUCCUGACGCUGAGGAGCGAAAGCGUGGGGAGCGAACAGGCUUAGAUACCCUGGUAGUCCACGCUGUAAACGGUGGGUACUAGGUGUGGGGUCCAUUCCACGGGUUCCGUGCCGUAGCUAACGCUUUAAGUACCCCGCCUGGGGAGUACGGCCGCAAGGCUAAAACUCAAAGGAAUUGACGGGGCCCCGCACAAGCGGCGGAGCAUGCGGAUUAAUUCGAUGCAACGCGUAGAACCUUACCUGGGUUUGACAUGGAUCGGGAGUGCUCAGAGAUGGGUGUGCCUCUUUUGGGGUCGGUUCACAGGUGGUGCAUGGCUGUCGUCAGCUCGUGUCGUGAGAUGUUGGGUUAAGUCCCGCAACGAGCGCAACCCUUGUUCACUGUUGCCAGCACGUUAUGGUGGGGACUCAGUGGAGACCGCCGGGGUCAACUCGGAGGAAGGUGGGGAUGACGUCAAGUCGUCAUGCCCCUUAUGUCCAGGGCUUCACGCAUGCUACAAUGGCUGGUACAGAGAGUGGCGAGCCUGUGAGGGUGAGCGAAUCUCGGAAAGCCGGUCUCAGUUCGGAUUGGGGUCUGCAACUCGACCUCAUGAAGUCGGAGUCGCUAGUAAUCGCAGAUCAGCAACGCUGCGGUGAAUACGUUCCCGGGGCU
rnacentral:rRNA from 1 species